rnacentral:pre_miRNA from 1 species
GGGGAAGAUCAUGACCAUGUUGACAGAAGAGAGAGAGCACAACCCGGCAUCAGCUAAAGAAAGUCUUUGCUUUUGUUGGGAGUGUGCUUUCUCUUCUUCUGUCACCAUCAUCUUUUCACCCCCU